AUGAACGCUAGCUACAGGCUUAACACAUGCAAGUCGAGGGGCAGCAUGGUCUUAGCUUGCUAAGACUGAUGGCGACCGGCGCACGGGUGAGUAACACGUAUCCAACCUGCCGUCUACUCUUGGACAGCCUUCUGAAAGGAAGAUUAAUACAAGAUGGCAUCAUGAGUCCGCAUGUUCACAUGAUUAAAGGUAUUCCGGUAGACGAUGGGGAUGCGUUCCAUUAGAUAGUAGGCGGGGUAACGGCCCACCUAGUCUUCGAUGGAUAGGGGUUCUGAGAGGAAGGUCCCCCACAUUGGAACUGAGACACGGUCCAAACUCCUACGGGAGGCAGCAGUGAGGAAUAUUGGUCAAUGGGCGAGAGCCUGAACCAGCCAAGUAGCGUGAAGGAUGACUGCCCUAUGGGUUGUAAACUUCUUUUAUAAAGGAAUAAAGUCGGGUAUGGAUACCCGUUUGCAUGUACUUUAUGAAUAAGGAUCGGCUAACUCCGUGCCAGCAGCCGCGGUAAUACGGAGGAUCCGAGCGUUAUCCGGAUUUAUUGGGUUUAAAGGGAGCGUAGAUGGAUGUUUAAGUCAGUUGUGAAAGUUUGCGGCUCAACCGUAAAAUUGCAGUUGAUACUGGAUAUCUUGAGUGCAGUUGAGGCAGGCGGAAUUCGUGGUGUAGCGGUGAAAUGCUUAGAUAUCACGAAGAACUCCGAUUGCGAAGGCAGCCUGCUAAGCUGCAACUGACAUUGAGGCUCGAAAGUGUGGGUAUCAAACAGGAUUAGAUACCCUGGUAGUCCACACGGUAAACGAUGAAUACUCGCUGUUUGCGAUAUACUGCAAGCGGCCAAGCGAAAGCGUUAAGUAUUCCACCUGGGGAGUACGCCGGCAACGGUGAAACUCAAAGGAAUUGACGGGGGCCCGCACAAGCGGAGGAACAUGUGGUUUAAUUCGAUGAUACGCGAGGAACCUUACCCGGGCUUAAAUUGCAGAUGAAUUACGGUGAAAGCCGUAAGCCGCAAGGCAUCUGUGAAGGUGCUGCAUGGUUGUCGUCAGCUCGUGCCGUGAGGUGUCGGCUUAAGUGCCAUAACGAGCGCAACCCUUGUUGUCAGUUACUAACAGGUUCCGCUGAGGACUCUGACAAGACUGCCAUCGUAAGAUGUGAGGAAGGUGGGGAUGACGUCAAAUCAGCACGGCCCUUACGUCCGGGGCUACACACGUGUUACAAUGGGGGGUACAGAAGGCCGCUACCACGCGAGUGGAUGCCAAUCCCCAAAACCUCUCUCAGUUCGGACUGGAGUCUGCAACCCGACUCCACGAAGCUGGAUUCGCUAGUAAUCGCGCAUCAGCCAUGGCGCGGUGAAUACGUUCCCGGGCCUUGUACACACCGCCCGUCAAGCCAUGGGAGCCGGGGGUACCUGAAGUGCGUAACCGCGAGGAGCGCCCUAGGGUAAAACUGGUGACUGGGGCU
rnacentral:rRNA from 1 species